CGAAGGGUGCAAGCGUUAAUCGGAAUUACUGGGCGUAAAGCGUGCGUAGGUGGUUCGUUAAGUCUGUCGUGAAAGCCCCGGGCUCAACCUGGGAAUGGCGAUGGAUACUGGCGGGCUAGAGUACGGUAGAGGGGGAUGGAAUUCCGCGUGUAGCAGUGAAAUGCGUAGAUAUGCGGAGGAACACCGAUGGCGAAGGCAAUCCCCUGGGCCUGCACUGACGCUCAUGCACGAAAGCGUGGGGAGCAAACAGGA
rnacentral:rRNA from 1 species